GUAGUUCAUUUAUGAGGUGAUUCUAAGGAACAAGAGUGAAGCACCGCUGAGUAACAGGAAAAAGAAACAUGAAUGUAGAAAUAUGCUGUGUGUUGGGCCAUUCCUGGGAGUAACUGUGGCUCAGUGUCCCCCUCUUUUGAGACAUGUCUCGGAACCAUCACCCUUGGGGAAAUGAAGAGCGGAUGCAUUUAUCCAACAGAUCCAGUCCCCCUUUGGUUAGGGUGCCUCCGCCAGCAUUAACCUCUCAGUCCAUCCUUUAAAGCUGAGCAACAUUCUGAAGUCAGCCAGAGAAGCCCCAUGGCAGAAAGAAUUACUUGCACAAAUACCGUGGAGAUUGGCAUGGAAAUGUCUGCACAGACUGCAGGGCUAGGAGGAUGGGCAAUUGUGUAAAGAGGUUCUCAAUGUGCAACAUGCCCACUCACUCCCAGCCACAGGAGAGAUGAGAAACUUGGAGCUCAGAGACAUCCGUUAACUUAAAGUGGCUGAAGGGGGACUCCAAUCAGGGCAACCCACCUUAGAGUCCUCUGCUGUCCACCACUGAGCUGGGAAAUGAAGACUCUGCACAUAGCAUUUCAUCUGGCUGAUCCUUGGAGUCCCAGUCUGUAAGUUUGUGUCAACAUCCUCUGCCUCUUCUGUAGGAUGACCAAAUGAAAAAUCGAUGAAAAUUCAUUCAUACGCAGGGGUUUAAUUUUUUUUAUUUUCAUGAGGCAAAAACAAACAACAACAACAACAAUAAACCAACCCGACAAUAUAAUAGCCUGGUCCCAGGCAUCAGAGGAUGGGACUAAUAGGUUUCAAAGCCACAUUCAUGACUUGGGAGAUUCUGCUUGAACAGACAAGCUGCCCCAGGCAUCCUGGAGAUGAAGUAAGUACGAUUCUUCUUGAAUUUGGGGGACAGCUCUUCUCUGGAGUUCAAAAAAAAAAAAAUCCAAGUUUCACUGGGGGCAGAAGGACAGUUGCUGGGUGUGCCUCUAGUUGUUCUAGAGAAAUGAACGCUUAGAACUACAGUUCCUCUCACAAGAGGUGAGACGGCUUUGCAAUUGAAAGAGAGCAACCAACCUGGAGCAAUUAUGUUUUCAUUAUUAUUCCCAAGCUUCUCUGUCACAAAUCACAUUUUCCAACCCGGGGCACGUUGGUGCAGAGCUGCCGAUUGCAGUUCCCAUCAUUCCACCAGCUGACUGCUCCAGCCUGGCCCUGGAAGCGGCAAGCCGGUGGCUCAUUAACUGCAAUACCUGUGCACAGAUUGCAAACCCGGCAGAGCAGAUGCUGCAUACUUCAGGAAAUUCUCCCCUAUUUGAAAAUGACUACGAAGUACUUUUUACUAUCAAACCCUUGUUGGGAUUUUUCUAGAAAGAAGACCGUGAAGCCCUUGUAGAUUUUCCUGUCGACUUGCAUUACAGAGCAGCUGAGAGUGCUAAGUCUGGGCAUGGCCUUGACUUGCAGGCACAAACACAAACACACCCCGGCGCCCCUGGCUUUAAAACUGGGGAUUUAAAGCGCUAGACUUGAGAGCGCAGAAGUACGGCAAUGCUCAUGCCGCCAUCAUGUGGCUAGAGGAGGAACCGCACCAGGAACAGAAUGGACCAAUUCGGCCAGGCUGCCUGCACCCCCUCCUUCCUACUUUCCUCCCUCCCUUCCUUUGAAACAGCUGCUGAAGAAGACUAGUCAAUUAAAAAAAAAAGAAAGAAAGAAAGAAAAGAAAGGUGGAAGAGAAAUAAUUGAGUUAGGUACCACUGUUUGCACACCCCGUUCCUGGGGCUUUAUAAAAGCCCUGCGUGAAGCAGGGCAGAAUAUAUGACUGAAGUGAACUCCACUCGACCUUCAAAUCCAACCCCUCCGAAGAGAAUAUUCCAAGAAUCAAGCAAAACCUGGGAGGUCAAGGAUGUUUCAUCUGCGUUUCCCCAUUCUCUUAGAUUGUCUCUUCUUUCCUCAAGUCUCAUAGAAUCUGAGAGUUAGAAGGUUCUCAAAGGUCAUCUCAAGCACAAUGCUUUGUGAAAUUUGAAGUCCAGCUACAAUAUGCCCAAUAAGCAUUUAUCCAGACUCAAGAGUCCCCAUUGCUGGAGAAUUGGAAUUUAAUAAUACCAAACAUAGCCCAAUCCAUUUUGGAACAAAUCUACUUGUGAGGAAGUUAUUUUAUUGUUGUUUGUUUUACAGCAUGCUGUAGGUGGUCUCUUUGAAUUCCAUCUAAAUACAACUUUUUGUAGUACAGUACUGCAAAUCAUCUAUUCUAAAGAUGCAUAUGUGUUUACACUGUAUCUGUGAACAUUCAUAACAAUUGAAGACACUUCUGAUUGUGCUUGGCUGGGCAGCAGACACGACGUUGUUGCUUAUGCAUGUGUGAGACAGGCUGUUUCAGGUAGUGUGAUAAAAAUUCUCUCAAUAUUUCAGUCAAACUAUUUAAGAGUCUUUGGAAUAAGGAAUAUAAGCCUUCUAUGUCUUAAAAAAAAUUUAUGGAGAUUUUUUGAAAAUCAUGAAAGCACCAGAUUCAAAACAUUCAGAAGGCAUCUUGGAAGAAAAAAAAAAUCUCAGGAGACAAUAGUGGAGGACUCUAAACAAAGUUGUAUUACAGUAUUCUUAAGAGUAAAAUCAAUGGGACGAUAGAGCAAAACUGCUCAACUAAUAUACCUAAUUCAUAGAAUGUAAUAGCUAUUUAGGAAAUGAAACAUUUAUUGUUGAUUUAUGAUGUGCUACUAACUCUGCUAAGCCCUUUCCAUAUUUUAUUCUACUUGAUCCACCCCAAGACCUAAUGAGGUAGUUAGCACAGGGCCACUAUCCCUUAUCCAAAACUUUUAGGCCAAAUUUUGAAAUUCAUAACUAUUUUUAUUAUUUAAGAAUAUAUAGUAUAUGUAUUGUAUCUUGUUUAACCCCACCAGCAGGGUCUGGGAUAGCAUGCUGUAAUCAAACACAUUAAUAUUUUGCAACAAAAUAUGUGCAUAUUCACAGACUGUGGGAUAAAGAAAUAUCAUAGUAAGUCUCCAGUCUCCCGUCUCAUGCCAGUUUAGGUCAAAGAUGAGUUUGUGAUGGGCUUAUGAAAAUGUUUUCUGUUCUCAGGUAUUUGGGGAUUUUAGAUAUGCAAAUUAGUGGUUUGGAAUUUGUAUUAGUGUCUCCAUUUUGCUAAUAAACAAAGUGAGGCUUUGUAAGUAGUUCCCCCUGACGCACACAGCUCAGAGUGUGGAGUUGGGUCUGAGACAAUCAAGGUCUUAACAACGAUGCUUGGCUGCCUCAGUGAAGCAUCCAUCUGCCAGGAGGUUGGGGGUCACUGCCAUGGGCCCUGAGUCUUCUCUUCUUUAGACUGAUCACUUGCCCAUAACUAUCUCUAGACUUCUUGCCACAAUGGCUCUCCUUUGAACACCCCAUGGUUUCUCACUUCUUAAACCACUGUAAGUAUGAAGUCUCCAUGAGGGGAGACUUAACUAACUGCUAAUAGAAGAACAGAAAGAACAGAAAGGUGUGUGGAGUUCCACGCUCCAACAGCAUCUACCACUUGCUCAAUGAAGUUUUUCAAAAAUAAAAAUAUUUUCUAAGCAGAUGAUGUGGCUCUUUUAUCGUGCUCAUCAUUUUAGAGAGAAAAAGAUCAAAGAUAGAGCCACCAUAGGUUCCAAACCCAAGGUUUGGGAAACUCCAUUCCAGUUCUAUUAAAAUUGCAGCUUUUUCAUAUAAAUUUCCCUGGAGAAGAAAUAUCAUAGGAGUUUUAAUAAUAAUAAAGUACAGGUUCUGUAGCCAACUCAUCUGGUUUGAAUCUCGUUCUGACACUUCCUAGCUGUGUAAUCUUAAGCAAAUUACUUAACCUCUCUGUGCCUCUGUUUUUCUAACAAAUGGGGGCAAUGAUAUGACCUACCUUUGAG
rnacentral:lncRNA from 1 species